rnacentral:rRNA from 1 species
UGGGGAAUAUUGCACAAUGGGCGCAAGCCUGAUGCAGCAAUGCCGCGUGUGUGAAGAAGGCCUGCGGGUUGUAAAGCACUUUCAGUAAGGAGGAAAUCUUGCAGGUUAAUAGCCUGUGAGCUUGACGUUACUUACAGAAGAAGCACCGGCUAACUCCGUGCCAGCAGCCGCGGUAAUACGGAGGGUGCAAGCGUUAAUCGGAAUUACUGGGCGUAAAGCGCGCGUAGGUGGCUAAGUAAGUCGGAUGUGAAAGCCCUGGGCUUAACCUGGGAAUUGCAUUCGAUACUGCUUGGCUAGAGUAUGGUAGAGGGUAGUGGAAUUCCUGGUGUAGCGGUGAAAUGCGUAGAUAUCAGGAGGAACAUCAGUGGCGAAGGCGGCUACCUGGACCAAUACUGACGCUAAGGUGCGAAAGCGUGGGGAGCAAACAGG